rnacentral:rRNA from 1 species
AGCCCAGACCGACAGCUAAGGUCCCAAAGUGUGUGUUAAGUGGAAAAGGAUGUUAGGUUUCUAAGACAACUAGGAUGUUGGCUCAGAAGCAGCCACUCAUUUAAAGAGUGCGUAACAGCUCACUAGUCGAGAGGUCUAGCGCCGAAAAUGUCCGGGGCUAAAACACACCACCGAAGCUACGGAAUUACCUAUGGUAAUUGGUAGAGGAGCAUUCUGUAAGGAUGAAGCACAAUUGAAAGAGAGUGUGGACGAAACAGAAGAGAGAAUGCCGGAAUGAGUAGCGAGAUAUAUGUGAGAAUCAUAUAGGUCGAAUGUCUAAGGUUUCCUGGGUAAAGCUGAUCUGCUCAGGGUAAGUCGGGACCUAAGGUGAGGGCGAGAGCCGUAAUCGAUGGACAACAGGUAGAAAUUCCUGUACUACGUAUAAUCAGAACUGUGGGGACGCAGGAGGAUAGGAAAACCGGAGAAUGGAAAAAUCCGGCUAAGUACAAAGGUGUGAGUGAUAGGCAAAUCCGUCACUAUUAGCUGAAGUACGAAUGGGAGCGAAGAAAAGUAGCGAAGUUUCUGAAUCCACACUGUCAAGAAAAGCCGCUAUUGCGUUAUACGUACCCGUACCGCAAACCGACACAGGUAGACGAGGAGAAAAUCCACAGACCGACGGGAGAAGUGUUGUUAAGGAACUCGGCAAAAUGACCCCGUAACUUAGGGAUAAGGGGAGCCAACGCAAGUUGGUCACAGAAAAGAGGCUCAAGCGACUGUUUAGCAAAAACAUAGGUCUAUGCGAAACCGUAAGGUGAUGUAUAUGGGCUGACACCUGCCCGGUGCUGGAAGGUCAAAAGGAGAGGUUAGCGUAAGCGAAGCUUUGAAUUCAAGCCCCAGUAAACGGCGGCCGUAACUAUAACGGUCCUAAGGUAGCGAAAUUCCUUGUCAGGUAAGUUCUGACCCGCACGAAAGGUGUAACGAUUUGAGCACUGUCUCGACAACACGCCCGGUGAAAUUGAAGAACCAGUGAAGAUACUGGUUACCCGCAACAGGACGGAAAGACCCCAUGGAGCUUUACUGCAGCUUAAUAUUGGGAUUCGGUAUUGUAUGUACAGGAUAGGAGGGAGACUAAGAAGCUAGCACGCCAGUGUUGGUGGAGUCGAUGGUGGGAUACCUCUCUUAUAAUACUGAAUUUCUAACCUACUUCCGUGAUCCGGAAGAGGGACAUUGUUAGGCGGGCAGUUUGACUGGGGCGGUCGCCUCCGAAAGAGUAACGGAGGCGCUCAAAGGUCUUCUCAGAAUGAUUGGAAACCAUUCAAAGAGUGUAAAGGCAAAAGAAGGCUUGACUGCGAGAGUGACAACUCGAGCAGGUACGAAAGUAGGACUUAGUGAUCCGGUGGUAACAAGUGGGAGUGCCAUCGCUUAACGGAUAAAAGCUACCCUGGGGAUAACAGGCUUAUCUCCCCCAAGAGUUCACAUCGACGGGGAGGUUUGGCACCUCGAUGUCGGCUCAUCGCAUCCUGGGGCUGUAGUAGGUCCCAAGGGUUGGGCUGUUCGCCCAUUAAAGCGGUACGCGAGCUGGGUUCAGAACGUCGUGAGACAGUUCGGUCCCUAUCCGUUGUGGGCGUAGGAAAUUUGAUAGGAGCUGUCCUUAGUACGAGAGGACCGGGAUGGACGAACCUCUGGUGAAUCUGUUGGUAACCAAUGCCACAGCAGAAUAGCCAAGUUUGGAACGGAUAAACGCUGAAGGCAUCUAAGCGUGAAGCCAACCUAAAGACUAGAUUUCCCAUGCGAAAGCAGUAAGACUCCUUGU